rnacentral:rRNA from 1 species
UACAGAGGGGGCAAGCGUUAUUCGGAAUUAUUGGGCGUAAAGGGCGCGUAGGCGGCCUGGCAAGUGGAAGGUGAAAUCCCUCGGCUUAACCGAGGAACUGCCCUCCAAACUGCUUGGCUUGAGUCCGGGAGAGGUGAGUGGAAUUCCCAGUGUAGCGGUGAAAUGCGUAGAUAUCGGGAGGAACACCAAUGGCGAAGGCAGCACUCUGGGACGGUACUGACGCUGAGACGCGAAAGCGUGGGGAGCAAACAGG